GGGGCCGGGGCUGGGCUGCGGCGGGGCCGGGCGCUGAUUGGCCGGUGCCGCGCUCCGAGGCCGUUAACGGCGGCGCGGCGGGGCCGCAGCUCCAAAACAAAGGGCAGGCGGCCCGCGGGCGGCGGCGGCGGGGAUGUCUCGCGCGCGGCCCAGGCGCCAACCGCCGCAGCGCGUCCCGGGCCGCGCCGGGCCCUCCGGAGAGCCGCGCCCGCGCUGAGCGAGGCCGUGCCGAUGGGCGCUGCGGGCCGGGGCGCGGACCGGCGGGCGGCCGUGAGUAGGGCGGGCCGGGGGUGCUCACCGGGCGUCGUUGGGCUGGUUGGAGGGCGGCGGGACCGGGAGCGUCUCCCCCGUUCUCUCUCCCCCUGACCCGGAGAAGGGAUGGAAGGAGCUCCGCGCCCGAUGGUAAUAGGCUUUUCCCUCUAGAAAAAGGUCUCGACUGGGGAGGGAAAUGAGGACAAAAGAGGCCUCCCGGCGAGUUCAUGGCAAAGGGGGCGUUUCGAGUUCCCCACGUGAAGGUCGAGGCCGAAGUGAAACGCUCGCCUUCGUCCACCACUUGUGGCACCACCAGGGCUCUGUGGGUGCGAAGCUUGCACAGCCUAAGCUCCCCAAAACCGUGGUCCCUUCCCCGGGCCUGCCUCCUGCGGGCGCUGGAGCUCUAGGGAGGGAAGAUGGGACGAUGCCUCAGAGGAAUCAGUGUCCCCGCCCCCGAGCUUUUUCUGUUCGGUUGCAUUUUUUCUUCCUUUCUCGCCGCGAAACACACCCCUCAACCUGUUGUUUCCUUUACCAGGAAUGGUACUCUUUCUACCUUCCAGUCCCUCUUUCUGCUAAACUACCUGAGCUUACCUCCUCUGGGGAUCAGUUUCAGGUUGUGGCGUUUUUCUCUCACCCCAGCGGUGUGGACAGAGCCACACACCCUCUGACCAACAACGGCUCUUGCGUGCGUGCUGCAGUGUUUCUUCUGUCAGAGAGCCCAGCAGAGCUGCAGUUCCUCCCGUGCCAGCCCUGA
rnacentral:lncRNA from 1 species